rnacentral:rRNA from 1 species
AUACGGAGGAUCCGAGCGUUAUCCGGAUUUAUUGGGUUUAAAGGGUGCGCAGGCGGCCAUUUAAGUCAGCGGUGAAAGUCUGUGGCUCAACCAUAGAAUUGCCGUUGAAACUGGGGGGCUUGAGUAUGUUUGAGGCAGGCGGAAUGCGUGGUGUAGCGGUGAAAUGCUUAGAUAUCACGCAGAACCCCGAUUGCGAAGGCGGCCAGCCAAGCCAUGACUGACGCUGAUGCACGAAAGCGUGGGGAUCAAACAGGAUUAGAUACCCUGGUAGUCCACGCAGUAAACGAUGAUCACUAGCUGUUUGCGAUACACUGUAAGCGGCACAGCGAAAGCGUUAAGUGAUCCACCUGGGGAGUACGCCGGCAACGGUGAAACUCAAAGGAAUUGACGGGG